UUCUGUUGAUAUAUUUAUUGAAUAUGGAAUAAUACACGAAGUAUUUUUUAAAUUUCGUAAAAAUGUUGAGUAAAACGUUGAUGGUGUUGCUAAUUAUUUGCAUAACAUCAAAUAUGUUCCAUUGCGGUUAUAUUGUUAGAAGUGAUACUUUAUUUGAAAUGCAUAAUGGUACUCUGCUUCAAAAAGGAAAACACAUCGUCGCCAUUAAAGGAAAUUGUCCUGGGAAAAAGUUUUAUUCGAGUUUGUUACGAAUGUGUGUAAAACCACACGGUGUAUAAUAAAAUAAUUAUUUUUAAUGAUUUAUAAAUACAUUGUCCCAAAGCCAUUAGCUUCAACUUUAUAAUUUUUGGUAAUGAAAAAAUAUAGAACGAAAAGGAAACUUAAACAAUGAAAAAGGGUUACAAUUAACAGUAAAGAAAACACAAGCUUAAACUCGCCAAAAUAAUAAUUUAUUUGAAAAUAAUCAAUCAAUACUUAGUGUUCCCUUCCCUCGUCCUAAUAACAGCUCCCAAUCGCUUUUCCAUGGUUCGAAUAAGUUUCUUUGCACGAUCUACUUCGAUGCCAUCCCGUUCUUCAUUCAGCGCCGUUUCGAUUUCGUGGCAGGUGCAAGAUUUCUUGCCCGAACUCUUAAAUUCCUCCCGAAAAUUCUCGAUAGGAUUUAAAUCCGGGUUACACGCUGGCCAAUCCAUAAAGGCAUUUUCGACAUUCUGAAAAUACUGCCGUACUGAACCUGCAGUAUGUUGGCAGCCAUUAAAAUAUAACAGUUUUUAUAAAAACCAACUCGGUUUUUGAUUCCAUCGAAAUGCCCGCCCAUACCAUCCAGGAACCUCCUCCAAAAUCACGAUUUUUUAUGCAACACUGCGCGAAUCUUUCUCCGGGUCUUCUGUAGACUCGUCCUCUUCUAUCGCUACCAUGCAGGUACAUACUGCUUUUGCCUAAAUAAAGAAAGGAGUCCCAGUCCAAUUAACUUGUUCUUUGGCAAAUCGUUGACAAGCUGCUUGGUGGGCUGCGCUUAAUUUAGGGCCAGUAGCUGAUCAUUUUACCUCAAGGUUAGCUGCCUUGAGUCUUUUUCUGACUGUCCAACCACUCACAGCCACUAAAUCGCCUUUCUCUGAGCUUUUGUUGGACUUUAAUACCAAUGAGGGAUAGAUUUCUUAGCAAUGUGUUGACAAUUAAUCGAUCAUCCCUCUCGGAUGGACACUUUUUUCUUCAGGAAACUGCGUUUUUGAUGAAAGUUACCAGUCUCUUGGUAACGACGGUAAAAUCUGGAAACAGCAGACUUACUCAUGUUCAGCGCACUGGCGACUUCUCGCUGACUCUGGUUUUGUCGCGUUCUUUAAGACGAAUGCUAAAACGCAUGCGCUAUCGAAUUAACUGUUCGCCAUCGUCUCCUCCACGCACUUCACGAGGAUAAUUUCGAUUGAAGAUUGGAUGUGGUCAAGAUGAUCCGCAGAAUAUGUAUUUCGUUUCAAAUUUCGCCAAAAACGUUCAAUUGGCAUCAGUUGAGGCACAUUAAGAUCAUUCUUAGACUUCUCACUAAACGAAAUAUCAACUGCAGAAGCUCCCACAACGUACUUUGCAUAAUGAGCAGUUGCCAUAUCUGACCAAAACGCAAAAUUUCCUUCAUGGUGCUUUUUCGUUAUGAACUGCAUUAAUAAAGAUCUAACACACACUCUUUUUCAUGUGUUUUGACUAGGGUCUUGCCUAUUUUAUUACACUACAAGGGACGAAAGUUCUUCGGCUCUGCGUGUCAUGAUUCCCGAGGAGAAGCUCGUAGAUUUACGUGGUGAAAUACAAAACGAUCCAACACUCGUGAUCAUCAUUUCAUGGAUGGAUAGGCAAAAGAGGAAUCUUUGAAUGACCCGCACGGUCAUGUGAGUUGACCCCCUGUGAUUUCUUCUUGCGAGGCCUUCUCAAGGACCGCGUUUUUGCAAGAGGACCACGCACCCUUCCCGACCUCCGAGCUGCAAUUGAAGUAGAAUUUGAAACUCUUCACGAAUAGCUUUGCCGGACCUGCCUCUCCGUUGAGAAACGAUGCAUUGAUCAAAAUCAUCAAUUUGAACCCUUUUUCGAAUCCCUUUUGUAAUUUUUUUUAAUAAAUUCAUUUACCUGUU